UCGAUCGUGGGGUGCUGGAAAAGCUCGACCAUGCUCAGGUCGUGGCCGAGCGCGGCGGCCAGCCGGGUCCGGAACUCGGCCAUCAGC
rnacentral:tRNA from 1 species